CAUUGCUGGCGGCGUGCUUAACACAUGCAAGUCGAACGAUGAACCACUUCGGUGGGGAUUAGUGGCGAACGGGUGAGUAACACGUGGGCAAUCUGCCCUUCACUCUGGGACAAGCCCUGGAAACGGGGUCUAAUACCGGAUACUGACCCUCGCAGGCAUCUGCGAGGUUCGAAAGCUCCGGCGGUGAAGGAUGAGCCCGCGGCCUAUCAGCUUGUUGGUGAGGUAAUGGCUCACCAAGGCGACGACGGGUAGCCGGCCUGAGAGGGCGACCGGCCACACUGGGACUGAGACACGGCCCAGACUCCUACGGGAGGCAGCAGUGGGGAAUAUU
rnacentral:rRNA from 1 species